UCGACUCAAGCUUCCUAAACAUCAAACAUGAUGAUUACAACUCUCCCCCUAACUUUUUCCUACCAAAACAUAAAACCAAUGAAAACCCAUCAAGAUCCCAAUUUUCCCUCAAAAUCAUUCAGUCUUCUUCAUCUCCAUCAAAACCCCAAUUUCGAAACCUUCCCUGAAAUCUUCUUUAGCGAAAGAGCAUCAACCAUCUUCUUCAGCAAAAUCUUCUUCAAAACCUUCCUUGUCUUCUUCAUUGAAACAACGGCCUCUACAAAAGAUCUUCUUCAUCGAAAGGUGUCCAGCUUCAUCCUUUGCAGAAACAAGAGGUAACAAAAUACAUUUAGUGAUCUCCUCUAUCUUCAGAACUACUCCAAAGCAACAUUAAAGAUGAAAAACAAGAAGGGUGAAGAAGGAAGAACAAGAGUUAGCGACAGAUUAAAUGCUGCUGGAAUUACUAGUUCAAAGAACCAUCAACAAAAGAACCAGAACUUGGAGCGAAAUUAAUAAUCUGGGGUGAGAAUGUGAGAGGGAGAUGCGAACGAGUUUGUUUAGAAGGAGGGAAAUGCAGACGAAAUUGUUUCGAAGGGUGGGCGAGCAGAACAACAAUGGUGGCAGCAAGCAAAUUGGUGGCGGCGAGCACAAUGGUGGCGUCGAUCUCAAUAGUGGCGACAAACACAAUGGUGGCAGCGAUGGUUAUUCGGAGAAGAAAUGGACGGAUUCCAUUUGAAGAAGAAAGAAUUUGCGAGCCGCGACUAAAGGAGAAGAUCGAAAGAGUAAAGUAUGAGAGAGAUUGUUAUUUUUUUACAAAAUAAAAUUAUUAAAAUUAAAAUUUAAAAUGGACCUUUAAUGUCGGUUUAAAACCGAAUUAAACUUGUUAUUUUUUUUACAAAAUAAAAUUAUUAAAAUUUAAAUUUAAAUGGACCUUUAAUGUCGGUUUUCAAGAGGGCGGACCUUUAAUGUCGGUUUAAAACCGACAAUAAAGCUUAUUCUUUAAUGUCGGUGGAAAACCGACAUUAAACAUCCGCCUUUUCAAAACCGACAUUAAUGUUCAUUUAUCAUUUUUCUCAACCGACAUUAAAGCGUAUAUUUCUUCUAGUGAUAUACCUAUUGGUUGGCCAAUGGGUUUGGGCCUUUAGGGUACUCAAGUUUUGGAAGGAGGGAGGAGAUAGGCAAAUGAAGACAUGCCUACAUCUCCAUACUCGCGCGCUGCCACCGUCGGUCGGGA